CAAAUCGAAUUCUUCGGCUGCUGUCCUUCUCAGGCUCUCCAUAUUCGGUCACUUCCGCUUUCACUACAUGAAUUUAUACAGCUUCGUUCCACCCUCUUGGUUUCACUCCCGAAAAAACGUUCCAAGUUGUUUCCACCCCUCUUGAAAGUGGUACCCAAGCUGCUCAACCCCCCUCCCCCCCACCUUUUUUCUCUCCCUCCUUCCUUGCCCCUCCAUCCAUCCUGUAACAGCCCAACGCGUGCUCUGCAUCUUUAAAACUCUCUUCUUGUCAGAGUCCUGACCUCCGUGAAGGCUUUGGGCCCGGCUUACACAUCACUGCUCCCUUCUCAUGACCGCUCUUUAUCGGACAAUCAUUGUACCUGAGAAGAUCUGCAGGCCAUCAGGACGUGCUGCUGUGGCUUGUGUUGUUAUUGCCAAAUUUUUGAAUAAGAUUCCUGUUCUUGACAUCCAGUUAAACACUGAAAGAAAAGAAUAUCCAAGUGACAAGUUCAUGAACAGGAUGAAACAAGCUUCUGAAAGAGAAACAGAGAGCUUUAGCCUCAACCUGGGCAAUGGACUGGCUAUGGUAGAGGGAGUCCUUGGAUAAUGGCACCUGUGGUCCAGUAUCUCCAUCCAGCCAGACCAGGGACUGACAGAUGAAACUACACUUGAUCCACGCCAGUGUGGCAAUUGACCCUAUGUGCCGCAUCUUCCAAAGCUGGUUAUAGGUACAUAAAUAUCACAGGUAAGAAGGUUCUAUAUUGCUCAACAGUAAGAAAGCACUUACUACUACUGAAUUGUACACUUCCAAGUGGUUAAGAUGGUAAAUUUUAUGUUGUGUAUUUUACCACAAUUAAAAAAAUACAUCUGUAGCAGCAACAUGGAUGGACUUAGAGAAUGUUAUAUUUAGUGAAGUUGGACACAGAAAGACAAAUAUUUUAUCACUUAUAAGAGAGAUCUAAAAAAUAAUACAAAUGAAUCUAUAUACAAAACAGAAAUAGACUCACAGACAUAGAAAACAAACCUAUGGUUACCAAAGGGGAAAGGGAGAGGGAGAGUAAGGAUUAACAGAUACAAACUGCUAUACUUUAAAUAGAUAAGCAACAAAGAUUUACAGUAUAGCUCAGGGAUUACAUUCAAUACCUGGUAAUAAUGUCUAAUAAAAAAGUUGGAAAAAAUAUGUAACUUGGCUGU
ensembl:lncRNA